rnacentral:rRNA from 1 species
UACGGGGGGGGCAAGCGUUGUUCGGAAUUACUGGGCGUAAAGGGCUCGUAGGCGGCCAACUAAGUCGGGUGUGAAAUCUUGGAGCUUAACUCCGAAACUGCAUUCGAUACUGCCGUGCUUGAGGACUGGAGAGGAGACUGGAAUUUACGGUGUAGCGGUGAAAUGCGUAGAUAUCGUAAGGAAGACCAGUGGCGAAGGCGGGUCUCUGGACAGUUCCUGACGCUGAGGCACGAAGGCCAGGGGAGCAAACGGG